ACUCGACUCCUUGAAUCAGCAGCAGCAGCAGCAGCAGCGGCACGCAGGCUCAAUAUCUAACAACCAAACACAGGCAGCAACAAUUGGAGAGGAGAGAACCAACCCUGGGACACGCGCCACCUAUCGUCACCGGAGGGGAUAAUUGAGAAGGACCAAACGUGAGCAUCUUUUGCUAAACGUAAUACGUUUUUUCUCUCUCUCUCUCUCUCUCUCCCAGGCUGUUUGAUCCGAGUGAAAUGAACUGUGACUGUCGGACUAUGACUACCAUGUAUAGCAGCCGAAGAAGAAAGAAUAUUAUCCAGAAGAAGAAAAGUUGGAACACUCUUAUUCAACCGACAUGACCACAACUGGAAGGGGGAAAACGGACCAAAAUGAUGGCGUUGGAAGUUUGUCUGACUCUCCAACACAGUCUCACACAUACCAGGGAUGAAAAUAUAAGGUUUGCGGAGUGUUAAGGAAGUGAGCAUCAGCGGUUUGGGUUUGUUCAUGUUUUAUAUUUGUAAACGUGUAUUUAUUUGCCUCUAUGGACGUGCGUUUAUGUUGUACUAUCGCAAUAACCACUAUGAGUGGAGCAUGUACAACGGCGCAUGGCCCCGUGCACCUACAAGAGCGAAAUAGAUGUGUAUAUUGAGGUGCUUCUCGCACGUGCCAGGUGCAGUCAGGUGCGUACAGGUACUUUCGUUGAAGUUUUCCCGGUGUGUUUUAAACAAAGUCCAUGUUAAACUCAUCUCUCUGACCAGGUUUGAAAGACGUCAAGUGUAUACUUCAUUCAUUUUUUUUCACAGGUGUUAUUCAAGGUUAUAUCGAAGAAACAUAUUUCACUCUAUUGCAACUAUACGACAUGGCUAUUACUCCAAUUCAUCUUUCUCUAUUUGAUUAAUUAAUUAAUUUCCUGGUGAUGCUGCUGCUUCAAUGUAUGUCUCUCUCUCUCUCUCUCGCUGUAAAUGGAGAGGAAGGCUCCACCUUUGCAACGCUGUGAUUGGUUAUGUAAAUAAAGUAUUAUAUUUGCUGUCCUGUCCUAUGCAGUUAUCAACUGUAUGGAUAAUUAAAUCAUCAAUCAAGA